rnacentral:rRNA from 1 species
AGAGUUUGAUCAUGGCUCAGGACGAACGCUGGCGGCGCGCUUAACACAUGCAAGUCGAGCGAGAACCGGGGCUUCGGCCCCGGGGAAAGCGGCGAACGGGUGAGUAACACGUGAGUAAUCCACCCUCGGUACCGGGAUAGCCCGGGGAAACCCGGAUUAAUACCGGAUGGCCCGUCUGCCCUUCGGGGCGGCCGGAAAAGGUAGCUUCGGCCUCCGACCGAGGACGAGCUCGCGGCGGAUUAGCUUGUUGGUGGGGUAACGGCCUACCAAGGCGACGAUCCGUAGCUGGUCUGAGAGGACGAUCAGCCACACUGGGACUGAGACACGGCCCAGACUCCUACGGGAGGCAGCAGUGGGGAAUCUUGCGCAAUGGGCGAAAGCCUGACGCAGCGACGCCGCGUGCGGGAAGAAGGCCUUCGGGUUGUAAACCGCUUUCAGGAGGGACGAAGCCACUCGGGUUAAUAGCCCAGAGGGUGACGGUACCUCCAGAAGAAGCCCCGGCUAACUACGUGCCAGCCGCCGCGGUAAUAC